rnacentral:rRNA from 1 species
AUUGAACGCUGGCGGAAUGCUUUACACGUGCAAGUCGAACGGCAGCACGGGGGCAGCCCUGGUGGCGAGUGGCGAACGGGUGAGUAAUACAUCGGAACGUGCCCGGUCGUGGGGGAUAACGUAGCGAAAGUUACGCUAAUACCGCAUACGAUCUGAGGAUGAAAGCGGGGGACCUUCGGGCCUCGCGCGAUCGGAGCGGCCGAUGUCAGAUUAGGUAGUUGGUGGGGUAAAGGCCUACCAAGCCGACGAUCUGUAGCUGGUCUGAGAGGACGACCAGCCACACUGGGACUGAGACACGGCCCAGACUCCUACGGGAGGCAGCAGUGGGGAAUUUUGGACAAUGGGCGCAAGCCUGAUCCAGCCAUUCCGCGUGCAGGACGAAGGCCUUCGGGUUGUAAACUGCUUUUGUACGGAACGAAAAGGCUCUGGCUAAUACCUGGGGCUCAUGACGGUACCGUAAGAAUAAGCACCGGCUAACUACGUG